AUUGAACGCUGGCGGCAGGCCUAACACAUGCAAGUCGAGCGGAUGAAGGGAGCUUGCUCCUGGAUUCAGCGGCGGACGGGUGAGCAAUGCCUAGGAAUCUGCCUGGUAGUGGGGGAUAACGUCGGGAAACGGGCGCUAAUACCGCAUACGUCCCGAGGGAGAAAGUGGGGGAUCUUCGGACCUCACGCUAUCAGAUGAGCCUAGGUCGGAUUAGCUAGUUGGUGGGGUAAAGGCCUACCAAGGCGACGAUCCGUAACUGGUCUGAGAGGAUGACCAGUCACGCUGGAACUGAGACACGGUCCAGACUCCUACGGGAGGCUGCAGUGGGGAAUAUUGGACAAUGGUCGAAAGCCUGAUCCAGCCAUGCCGCGUGUGUGAAGAAGGUCUUCGGAUUGUAAAGCGCUUUAAGUUGGGAGGAAGGGCAGUAAGUUAAUCCCUUGCUUUUUUGACGUUACCAACAGAAUAAGCACCGGCUAACUUCGUG
rnacentral:rRNA from 1 species